CUUUGGUGGGCAGAGCCUACGACCCUUGACCAUGUAGCUUCGAAUCCGCUUCCCAAGCUUGGGGUGAACGAUAGAUAGGAAGAG